rnacentral:rRNA from 1 species
AUGCAGCCUCCGGCGAAGGCUGGCCGGCUCACUCGGAGCCUGGUUGUGAACGGCGGCGUGUUCAUCUUCAUCGCCGCGAUUGUCGCCGGCGCUUUCGUCUCCGCCUACUGGAUAUCUGCCAGCGCCAGAGUUGCUUCGAUCAUUCCUGCCGGUUGGGGGCCCCUUCCUCCGCAGCAGCCACCUGCUCCGGCGCCGGAUGCCGCAGAACCAGCGACGACGGCGUGCCCGGCCUACUUCCGGUGGAUCCACGAAGACCUGCGGCCAUGGCGAGCCACGGGGAUCACGCGCGAGACGUUGGAAGGCGCCCGCCGGUACGGCGCCAAGUUCCGGGUGACGGUGCUCGCGGGGCGCCUCUACGUGGCGCGCUACGGCCGGUGCUUCCAGACGCGGGACGUGUUCACGCAAUGGGGCAUCCUGCAGCUGCUCCGGCGCUACGCUGGCCGCCUCCCCGACCUCGAUCUCAUGUUCAACUGCCAGGACCUGCCGGUCGUCAACGCCGGCGACCACGCGCCUCCGCCGCUGUUCCGGUACUGCGGCAGCGAGCCCACGCUGGACAUCGCCUUCCCUGACUGGUCCUUCUGGGGCUGGCCGGAGCUGAACAUAAAGCCAUGGGAAGCGUUGAGAAGGGAGAUUAGUGAGGCGAAUGCGGCGUUGGACUGGACGCGCAGGACGCCGUACGCGUACUGGAAGGGGAACCCGACGGUGGGCGCGGCGCGCCGGGAGCUCCUCAAGUGCAACGUCUCCCGCGAGCGUGACUGGAACGCCCGGAUCUACGCGCAGGACUGGAGGACGGAGGUACGAGACGGGUUCAGGGCAUCGGACUUGGCCAAGCAGUGCACGCACAGGUACAAGAUGUACGUGGAAGGGCGCGGGUGGUCGGUGAGCGAGAAGUACAUCCUGGCGUGCGACUCCGUGGCGCUCGUGGUGCGGCCGAGGUUCCACGACUUCUUCUCCAGGGGGCUCGUGCCGCUGCGGCACUACUGGCCCGUGCGCGGCCAGUGCCGGUCCAUCAAGUUCGCCGUGGACUGGGGCAACUCGCACCCAGGCAAGGCGCGGGUAAUAGGAGGAAAUGCGAGCCGGUUCGUGCAGGAGGAGCUGACGAUGGAUAAUGUGUACGACUACAUGUUCCACCUUCUGAGCGAGUACGCUAGGCUGCUGCGGUACAAGCCCACGGUGCCGGGCGGGGCCGUGGAGGUCACCGUGCAGUCCAUGGCGCGCGGAAGGCGAGGGCUGGAGCGGGAGUUCAUGGCGGGCACGGCGGUGAACGUCUCGGGCAGCGCGGAACCGUGCGAGCUGCCGUCGCCGUUCGGGUCCGAGGAGCUGGAGUCGCUGCGGAGGAGGAAAGCCGAUGCGGCGAGGCAGGUGGAGACGUGGGAGGAGCGGUGA